rnacentral:lncRNA from 10 species
GCCGAUAAUUCUAUUUUUUAUGUUUAUUUUUUAGAAACAGAGUUUCACACUGUCACUCAGGCUGGAGUGCAGUGGUGCGAUCUAUCUAGGCUCACUGCAGCCUCAAACUCCUGGGCUCAAGCAAUCCUCCCACCUCAGCCUCCCGAGUAGCUGGGACUAUACGCACAUGCCACCAUGCCUGGCAAAUUUUGUCUUGUUUUUUUGAGACAGGGUCUCACUUUGUCACCCAGGCUGGAAUGUACACGGCU